rnacentral:lncRNA from 1 species
AAUCAAAUUCUUACCUGUAUUGUAGUAAAAUUAAAAAUCAAGUUUUCAAAAUCUAAGUUCAACCUUUGCAUAGAUCUGAAACUGCAGACCCUCUACUUCGUAUGUACGCCAGACAAUGCAAGAAAGUAGGAUGUCCUCUAAUCAAAGCACCUUCACAAGGCAACCAAAUGAGGGAGGAGAGUUGCAAGUGUGAUGCCUUACACCAGUAAGGGGGGAUGCCCAAGGAGGGCCCA